GGGUGAGUAAUGCAUCGGAACGUGCCAUUGAGUGGGGGAUAACGUAGCGAAAGUUGCGCUAAUACCGCAUAUUCUGUGAGCAGGAAAGCAGGGGACCGCAAGGCCUUGCGCUCUUUGAGCGGCCGAUGUCAGAUUAGCUAGUUGGUGAGGUAAAGGCUACCAAGGCGACGAUCUGUAGCGGGUCUGAGAGGAUGAUCCGCCACACUGGAACUGAGACACGGUCCAGACUCCUACGGGAGGCAGCAGUGGGGAAUUUUGGACAAUGGGGGCAACCCUGAUCCAGCCAUGCCGCGUGAGUGAAGAAGGCCUUCGGGUUGUAAAGCUCUUUCGGCCGGGAAGAAAUCGCAUGGGCCAAUACCCUGUGUGGAUGACGGUACCGGAAUAAGAAGCACCGGCUAACUACGUGCCAGCAGCCGCGGUAAUACGUAGGGUGCGAGCGUUAAUCGGAAUUACUGGGCGUAAAGCGUGCGCAGGCGGUUUUGUAAGACAGGCGUGAAAUCCCCGGGCUUAACCUGGGAACUGCGUUUGUGACUGCAAGGCUAGAGUACGGCAGAGGGGGGUGGAGUUCCACGUGUAGCAGUGAAAUGCGUAGAGAUGUGGAGGAACACCAAUGGCGAAGGCAGCCCCCUGGGUCGAUACUGACGCUCAUGCACGAAAGCGUGGGUAGCAAACAGGAUUAGAUACCCUGGUAGUCCACGCCCUAAACUAUGUCAACUAGGUGUUGGGUGGGUAAAACCAUUUAGUACCGUAGCUAACGCGUGAAGUUGACCGCCUGGGGAGUACGGCCGCAAGGUUAAAACUCAAAGGAAUUGACGGGGACCCGCACAAGCGGUGGAUGAUGUGGAUUAAUUCGAUGCAACGCGAAAAACCUUACCUACCCUUGACAUGCCAGGAACUUGCCAGAGAUGGCUUGGUGCCCGAAAGGGAGCCUGGACACAGGUGCUGCAUGGCUGUCGUCAGCUCGUGUCGUGAGAUGUUGGGUUAAGUCCCGCAACGAGCGCAACCCUUGUCGUUAAUUGCCAUCAUUUAGUUGGGCACUUUAACGAGACUGCCGGUGACAAACCGGAGGAAGGUGGGGAUGACGUCAAGUCCUCAUGGCCCUUAUGGGUAGGGCUUCACACGUCAUACAAUGGUCGGCACAAAGGGUUGCCAAGCCGCGAGGCGGAGCCAAUCCCAGAAAGCCGAUCGUAGUCCGGAUUGCAGGCUGCAACUCGCAUGCAUGAAGUCGGAAUCGCUAGUAAUCGUGGAUCAGCAUGUCACGGUGAAUACGUUCCCGGGUCUUGUACACACCGCCCGUCACACCAUGGGAGCGGGUUCCGCCAGAAGUAGGUAGCCUAACCGCAAGGGGGGCGCUUACCACGGCGGGGUUCGUGACUGGGGUGAAGUCGUAACAAGGUA
rnacentral:rRNA from 1 species